CCCAGUUCUCUGCUGAGCUCCCUGCGGGAAGAAUCAUCCAAGUCAUGGGAGGUCAGCCCUGUCUGUGGCAGGAGUCCCUGACGCCAGGCCUGAGGGCCAGUCUUGGCCUCUGUGGGUUCCGAUUGCCAGGUGAGAGGGUGACCUGGGUGGGGCUCCAGGGAGGCUGGGAGUGAGUUAGGAGGGAAAGGGGUGUUUGUGGCAGGCACCAGGGGUCAGCUGUGCGUGCCUGGUGAGGGCGGGUCUUGGGCGGUCUUCCAGUCUGGCUGGGGCUGACCAGAGAAGGCUCUGAAAGGGUCAGUGUGGCCUGGGAGGGGCCACCGGUCCAGGGUGUGGUGUAGGACAGGGCCUGCCUGCGCACAGAGCUGUGGGGGUGGGAAAGGGGUCCUCUGCGGGAUGGGGGGCUCACGCUGAGAGGGAAGUGAGGUGGGUCUGGCCUCCCUCGGGCAAUGUGACAUCCCACAGAGGACCCAGGGGCCUUGGCCCCUUCCUGCCUGACUACUCCGGUAAAGGGCUGGUGUGCAGAUUGCCCACGGGAGGCCUGUCCUGCAGCCUGAGCUCUGUCCCUGGGAGCAGGAAAGGUCCCUGGGAAACACUGCCUCUGGCCUUGGUUUCUCACCCCAUGCCAAGUGCACGGGGGCUCCAGAUCCUUCCUGUCCUGUCCUGGGGUCGUGUGACAGUGGGAUGAGUGGCUUGGCCUCCACUUGACCCUCGGGACCCCUGAUUGGGGAUGAGUUCUAGAGUGGUCUCUAGGUCUGGGCAUAUCUGGACAGACUGCUUGGUGCAGGGUUCUCUGGGGGCAGAGGGGGGAGGUGGCCCUAAGUGUGGCUGCUUCCUGUCCAUCACUGAGCAGCCCCUCGCCUUCUCUUCCUUACCAAACGGUCCUUGGCUGGCUUGGGGGCCUCAGGGCCUUCACACUGACUUGUGAGCCACAUGGGGUCCUGCUUCCAGGGGUCUAGAGCAGCAGUGUCUGUGGGAGCCGGGGUUGGGGCAGGGCAUGGAGUGGGGCAGCAUGUUGGAAGGACUCCUGGGGACUCCAGGCAUCCUGGGCUUGUCCAUGUGGCUCCAGCCUCAGCCUCCGAGGCCACAUGGCAGUGUGUCCUCUGCUAUUGUUUCCCACUCAUAAGGAGCGCCCAGAAAUCCCAGCACCAUCUCCCCACCUCAAACCCUUCACUCUACCACGUCCACAAAGACCCCUCCUCCUCACAGGGUGGGGGUCAGCUGAUGUCUCUGGGCCUGUUCACUUGGCCCUGCCAGCCAUCUGGCUCCCUUCAGAGCAGAGCUCCCAGGGAGGAGACCUCUGCUGUCCUCUCCAAACCCACAUCAGGCGGCCUUAGCCUCCCCAGGGCAGUUCUCUUGGGUCCCUGGAGUCCGUGAGGUGGCCCCGUCAUGGCCCCUGGCUUCGCAGCACCCACCCAGGCACUCGCUGCUCCCUGGACAGUCCCUUCCAGGGCGGGUGGGUGACUCCCAGGCUGACCCUGCGGUCAGUCCCUCCCCUGACCUCUUCGCAGGUGCCUAGUUAUCUCCUGAGCCCUCCUAGGUGUCUCAAGUGUCUGGACCUGCCCUGCCCCCACGCCACGCCAUCUCCCUUCAGCCAUCCGCCACGAUUUUAGCCACUUGGCCCAGAUCCCAGGGCCAUUCCCCUUCAGAUCAAAUGUCCUGAUUUUUAAAAUUGAUUUUAUUUGGCUUCAUUACAGUGAGUUUUAGUUGUGAAGCAGAGGAGAAGAAUUUAGAGCUUCAAGUGGACAUUGGGCAAAGUGGUUUCUGAUCUGCGGACCUCGGGGCAACGAACCUCCCCCGUAGAGGGUCGGAGCGUGAGUGCUGCAGCUCUGGCACCGUGGCCUGGGGUCCCUGCUUGACGGCUCACUCGGGCCUUCAGAAGCAGCCGUGGACCAUUCAUAAAGGGCCAAGGGUGCUAGUGGACAAUGGCCACCUGUCCACCACUUGCCUGGGGAGACAAGGAGGCGAGAUUGGGUCUUUAUCACCAAAUGGAACCUCACAGAGGCACGUGGCCCAGGCAGUCCUGGUGCACAGUCUCCACUUUUAAACAACGAACGAACGAGAGCAUUUCAAAGACACUAAGGAUUUCCCAGAGCGCGGCAGAAUAAACAACUUUCCCAUUUGUUAAACAAUGAUAAGCUUUUCUAACUACACUAAGUGAGUAUUCUGGUCAGGGCCAAGUUUCUGCAUAGUAGUCCAGAAGUGGAUUAAGAAACAAAUGGAUUUACUACUUUGUUAUUGUGGUAAAACAGACAGGACAUGAAACUUGCCAUCACUAGGUUUCCAAGCUCACUCCAAGACUGCGCGGCUGUCACCCCCUCCAGAGCGUCACAUCUCCCAGACUGGAAACCUUCAACACUGACUCCCCGCCCUCCAGCCCCUGAUCCCCCAGAAGGGCACCAAGGACCCUCGAUGCCACAUCCGUGACUGCUCCUCCCCUGCCUUCCUGCUGCCCCCCACACUAAUACCUGCCCCUAUGUUAGGCCCUCCCCCUCCUCGUGAGCCCCUUGGGGCUGCCCAUGACCCAGGCAAGCACUCUCCAGGCUCCAUGGCUGCAGGCUCAGAUCUGGGUCAGCAGCCUGAAUCUGUACCCCAGACGCUGCUCCAAGUCAGCUAAGAACAUGCCUGCCUAUCCCUAGGCCCCAAACCAGUCGGCAUCUCUCCUGCCCCUGGAUUCCUGGGCUCAGGGGAUCCACCACCCUGGUCAGCAUGGCUGCAGCACCUGGGCUGCCAAGGGGGACUUGAGUGAAACCAGGGCCCUGGAGACCGGUGUUCCACCCAGGAGAGACAAGAGAGGGACAGCAGUGUGGACACCACCCCUUUCAUGCUGGGGGGCUCAAGUCGGGCCAUCCUGGUCACCCACAUGGACCUGGGCGAGGGGAGCCAGAGGUUCACAGUCUGCCCAGUGUGCUCCCUUCUGCCCUGCAAGGCAGGCUGGACCAGGCUCCCCUCACUUCCAGCAGCACAGAGCAGACCCCAAAAGUGAGGCUUGCCAGGUCGGGCACAAGCCACAGGAUGACAUCCUGGACAGUGGUGGGUGGCAUAUAGGAGAUCCACAUCACCCUGUGACGUCACAGUGAUCACAGUAGCUCCAGGUGUGAUGUGCACACUCGCCCGAUGCUGGGGGGCGUGAACACCCCCACUGCUGGCCUAAGGGUCCACUCCACGCACUUUUGAUUGUCAUUUAGAGUCUACUCCUUUUAUUUUUAAAACAGAGAAGUCUGCUGAGCUCGGUGGCACAGACCUGUGAUUCCAGUGACGCGGGAGGCUAAGGAAGGAGGAUCUCAAGUUCAAGGCCAGCUUCAGGAACUUAGCGAGACUCUGUCUCAAAAUAAAAAAAUAAAAAAAGAGCCGGGGAUGUGGCUCAGUGGUAGAGCACUUACAUGUUGUGCACAAGGCCCUGGUUUCCAUCCCCAGCUCUGCCAAAAAAAAAAAAAAAAAAAAAAGCGGCAUUCUGUGGAUGGCAGCAGAUACACCUUGUCCCUGAGCACACAGGACCCACUACUGCUGUCACAGUGGGAGGCCCCUGGAGUGACAGGCCGCACACAAAGCCACAGGGCCACCAGCGGCAUGAGGCCUCUCCCUUACUGGGCUAGCUUGAGACCAGCCAUGGAAAGCAACCUGGCCAUCAGCCUCCGAGGGGACAAGGUGGCUCCAGGAGGUGGAGAACAGGCUGGUGGGCCACAAGGGGCAGUGGCUGCUGCUGACACCCACUCCUCAAAGCCACCUGCACUGGGCUGCACCCUGCAGCUGGAUGGCCAUGGGGGAAUGAGGUCACUCACCUCUGAGGCUGUAGGAGCCCAUGCCAGGGCCCUGGGGUCCCCAGCUGGGCGUGUGACAUUGAUCGUCCCUCAGUCACUGUCCUGGCUGCCACACGGUGUUCUAUCUAGAGGAGAAAAGAGAAGGCCUGUGGGAGUUCAGUGUGACCUGGUGUGGGAACGGCCACCUUUCCCACCGUGUGUUCACGCUUGUCCGGUUGCAGUUAGAAAUGAACCUUCCGGUCCACGGACAGGGGUCAAGUUGUCC
rnacentral:lncRNA from 1 species